rnacentral:rRNA from 1 species
ACGCUCGACACCUACGGGAGCAGCAGUGGGGAAUAUUGCACAAUGGGGGGAACCCUGAUGCAGCGACGCCGCGUGAGGGAAGAAGGUUUUCGGAUUGUAAACCUCUGUCCUUGGUGACGAUAAUGACGGUAGCCAAGGAGGAAGCCACGGCUAACUACGUGCUAGCAGCCGCGGUAAUCUGAGCGGGCUGGCAAGGC